rnacentral:rRNA from 1 species
CGAAGGGGCUAGCGUUGUUCGGAUUUACUGGGCGUAAAGCGCACGUAGGCGGAAAUUUAAGUCAGGGGUGAAAUCCCGAGGCUCAACCUCGGAACUGCCUUUGAUACUGGGUUUCUUGAGUCCGGAAGAGGUGAGUGGAACUGCGAGUGUAGAGGUGAAAUUCGUAGAUAUUCGCAAGAACACCAGUGGCGAAGGCGGCUCACUGGUCCGGAACUGACGCUGAGGUGCGAAAGCGUGGGGAGCAAACAGGAUU